AUUCUCCUGCCUCAGCCUCCCGAGUAGCUGGAACUACAGGCGCCUGCCACCACGCCCAGCUAAUUUUUUUUGUAUUUUUAGUAGAGACGGGGUUUCACCGUGUCAGCCGAGAUGAUCUCUAUCUCCUGACCUCGUAAUCCGCCUGCCUCGGCCUCCCGAAGUGCUGGGAUUACAGGCGUGAGCCACCACGCCUGGCCUACAUCAUGUUGACAUAGCGGCUUUAUUGAUAAAAUACAACACGUGUGUAAAUGCAACAGAUAAGUGGGCGUUUACUCCCCUCCAUGAAGCAGCCCAGAAAGGAAGGACGCAGCUGUGCGCCCUCCUCCUAGCGCAUGGUGCAGACCCCACCAUGAAGAACCAGGAAGGCCAGACGCCUCUGGAUCUGGCAACAGCUGACGAUAUCAGAGCUUUGCUGAUAGAUGCCAUGCCCCCAGAGGCCUUACCUACCUGUUUUAAACCUCAGGCUACUGUAGUGAGUGCCUCUCUGAUCUCACCA
rnacentral:misc_RNA from 1 species